CUAACUUCAGACAUUCACUUUUCUCUUUUGCACUUCCUUGCCCUUACGUUCUGAAGAGCUCUUCAUUCCCCUUCUAGACUAAAGACUCUUUGCUUCAACCAACACACUUUUAUGGAAAUUAUUAUCUCUUUGGGUAAAUCAUUUAUCUUAUUUUUUUGGUAUUUGGAAAAUACAAUGAUUUAUUUAUUUUCUUUAAAUCACUAUCUCUAUUUCAGCUUUGAAGUCAUCCGAUAGAUGUUUCUCAUCUUGUCAUCUUUGCUAUCUCUAAUCAUCUUCAUCGAGUCAGAUUGUUGUCUUUGGUGGUCUACUGUCAUGUCUAGCAACAUCACUCUCUAUCAAGGUAUUGGUUAUAUUCUUUAGGAUGUGGAUCGAAUUGGCAAGGAGCAUUGCAAAGUUAAUUAACUUGAUUAUUAAUUGCAAGAGACAAAACAAACUGAAGGGGGAAAAGGAACUAGGAUUGAUGCUUUUUAGAGUGCCCAUACCAAUAAGAAUGGUGAACCAAUCAAUCAAACAACAUCUAAAGCUUUUAGUGUUGAAGUUAAAAAGGUCCAUAAAUUUACAGAAGCAAGGAAUGCUUGCUACUUGCUUGAUUAGUCAGAUUCAAUUGUUGCUGAAGGUCGUUGGGCUUCUAGUGAUCCUGACUUAGAGGUGCACAAAAUUCCCCUUGGACCAGAUUUUAUGUGUGUAUGGGUUGAUGUUGCUUGGUGCUUAUUUAUUUCAUCCUAACUAUGAGAUGCUUACUAUACGAGAAGUUGUUGGUUCCACAGUAGCAUGAGCUUCUCAA